CAUAGCAGAGCUAUCCGGGAGCCUCCAGCAUCCCAACACCCAGGUCACUCCUCAAAACAACUAAAUUGGAAACAUGGUUACAAAUAACAACUUGCAAAAAUCUCAAAGGAACAUCAUACUGAGCAAGAGAAGCCAAACACAAGGAGCACAAAUUUAUUCAAAAACUGAAGAGAAGAUGUAAAAAGCCUCAACAAAUGAGCGGAGCUGAUACACAGAAGGCCAGCGUCUGACUUGCUGGGUAAGCUGGAAGGUGAGCAGGAGCGUAGCCCUCGGUGCCUCCUCCCUAAGGGCCCAGCUGGCUGGGCCUUUGGGCAAAGCAGGCAGU